rnacentral:rRNA from 1 species
GAUGAACGCUGGCGGCGUGCCUAAUACAUGCAAGUCGAGCGAACAGACGAGGAGCUUGCUCCUUUGACGUUAGCGGCGGACGGGUGAGUAACACGUGGAUAACCUACCUAUAAGACUGGGAUAACUUCGGGAAACCGGAGCUAAUACCGGAUAACAUGUUGAACCGCAUGGUUCAACAGUGAAAGACGGUCUUGCUGUCACUUAUAGAUGGAUCCGCGCCGCAUUAGCUAGUUGGUAAGGUAACGGCUUACCAAGGCAACGAUGCGUAGCCGACCUGAGAGGGUGAUCGGCCACACUGGAACUGAGACACGGUCCAGACUCCUACGGGAGGCAGCAGUAGGGAAUCUUCCGCAAUGGGCGAAAGCCUGACGGAGCAACGCCGCGUGAGUGAAGAAGGUCUUCGGAUCGUAAAACUCUGUUAUUAGGGAAGACCAAAUGUGUAAGUAACUAUGCACGUCUUGACGGUACCUAAUCAGAAAGCCACGGCUAACUACGUG